rnacentral:rRNA from 1 species
UAAAAAAUUUAUUUUUUAAUAAUAAUUUAAUUUUUUAUAUUUGAGUACAGUGAGGGAAAAAUUAGAUUUAUUUAAUUUAUUAAUUUAUUUUUAUUACCUUUUGUAUCAGGGUUAAUUAAAUGUAAAAAAAAUAUUUUUUUUUUCUCGAAAUUAAUUGAACUAAUUAAAUAAUUUUUUUAUUGUUUUAUUAAUAAAUAAAAUAUUUAAUUAGAAGUGAAAUGUAAUGCGAAAUUAAUUAUAUCUAGUUAGUAAAAAUUUUUAAAUAUUAUUUUAUAAUUAAGAAAAUUUAAAGAUUAAAUUAAUGAAUUCGGCAAAAAUUUUUAUUCAACUGUUUAUUAAAAACAUAGUUUAAAGAAUUAUAAUUUUAAAUUUAUUCUGCUCAAUGAAAUUUUUUAAAUAGCUGCAGUUUUGUACUAAGGUAGCAUAAUCAUUUGUUUAUUAAUUGUAAUCUGGAAUGAAGGAAUAAAUGAAAUAAAAUCUUUAUAAAUUUAAUAAAUUUAAUUUUAUUUUAAGUUAAAAUUCUUAAAUAUUAAUAAAAGACGAGAAGACCCUAUAGAAUUUAAUAAAAUAAAAAUUUAAUUUUUAUAUUUUUAAAUUAAAUUAAAUUUUUAAAUUUAUUUUAUUGGGGAUUUAUAAAAAUUUACAAAAAUUUUUAAUUUUUUUUUUAUGAAUUUAUAUAUUUUGAAUUAAUUAUUAAUUAAGUUAAAUUUAAUUACCUUAGGGAUAACAGCGUAAUAUUUUUUAUAAGAUCAUAUUGGUAAAAAUGAUUGCGACCUCGAUGUUGAAUUAAGAUAAAUUAUAAAUGAAGAAAUUUAUUAAUUAAGUCUGUUCGACUUUUAAAAUCUUACAUGAUUUGAGUUUAAAUCGGUGUGAGCCAGAUUGGAUUCUAUCUUUAUUUAAAGUUUUAAAAAUUUGUACGAAAGGACUUUUUUUAAUUUAAAGUAAAUUUAAAUUUUUUGAAUUAAAUUAAAUUUUAGGUUACUUUGACAGAUAAG